rnacentral:rRNA from 1 species
UACGUAGGGUGCAAGCGUUGUCCGGAAUUAUUGGGCGUAAAGAGCUUGUAGGUGGUUUGUCGAGUCUGCUGUGAAAAUCCGAGGCUCAACCUCGGACUUGCAGUGGGUACGGGCAGACUAGAGUGUGGUAGGGGAGACUGGAAUUCCUGGUGUAGCGGUGGAAUGCGCAGAUAUCAGGAGGAACACCGAUGGCGAAGGCAGGUCUCUGGGCCAUUACUGACACUGAGAAGCGAAAGCAUGGGGAGCGAACAGG